rnacentral:snRNA from 1 species
GGAUGUGAGGACGAUCUGGCUGCGACAUCUGUCACCCCAUUUAUCACCAGGGUUUGUUCAGCUGAUCUGGCCAGCUAGGUGGGUGUCCCCUUCCUCCUUCACGGCUCCAUGUGUAUCCCUCCAGAAGCUGCAGGUUCAGUCAAAGAGGACAACCUUCCCCAAUAGAGGAGGGCCAUUCUUUGCUCAAGGGUAUACAAGAAGCUGUGCUCCCUGCUAGAACCUCCAGACAAGCUCUCAAGGUCCAUUUGUAGGAGAACGUAGGGUAGUAAAGUUUCCAAGACUCCAGACACAUCCAAAUGAGGUGCCGCAUGUGGCAGUCUGCCUUUCUUU